AAAUGGAAAAUUGUAUCUCGGUUUCCCUGCUUCCAUGAAGAUCUAGGGUUUCCAAUUGUUUCCCAGCUAAAAAUCGAAUUACCUUGUUCACAUUUUCAAUUACUUACAAUAAGUAAGUUUCUGAG